rnacentral:rRNA from 1 species
CUACGUAGGGGGCGAGCGUUGUCCGGAAUGAUUGGGCGUAAAGGGCGCGUAGGCGGCCCGGUAAGUCUGGAGUGAAAGUCCUGUUUUUAAGAUGGGAAUUGCUUUGGAUACUGUCGGGCUUGAGUGCAGGAGAGGUAAGUGGAAUUCCCAGUGUAGCGGUGAAAUGCGUAGAGAUUGGGAGGAACACCAGUGGCGAAGGCGACUUACUGGACUGUAACUGACGCUGAGGCGCGAAAGUGUGGGGAGCAAACAGGAUUAGACACCCUGGUAGUCCACACUGUAAACGAUGAAUGCUAGGUGUAGGGGGUAUCGACCCCUUCUGUGCCGCAGUCAACACAAUAGGCAUUCCGCCUGGGGAGUACGGCCGCAAGGUUGAAACUCAAAUGAAUUGACGGGG